GUGUGACUUGCCCAGGAAGCUGGCACUUAAAUCCUGCCGUGCCACACUGGCUUUUGUGAGAAAGAAACUCAGUGGUUUAAAUUACAAUAAUCAACCCCAAACCUGGGGUUUGUUUCCUCUGUUACUCUGUGUGGUCACCCUGAGUACAAAGGAGGGGAUUAUAGGUGCUCAGGAUGGCACAAGCUGCCAAACAGCUCAAAAAGAUCAAGGAUGUUGAAGCCCAAGCUCAUGCUGAGCAGAAAGAGAAGGAGGAAUCAGACCGCAAGAGAAGGAGCCGAUCUCGUGACCGUAAGAAAAAGGCUGAUGCAGUCACCAGCUUCCUGCGAGCGGCCAGAGCUGGGAACUUGGACAAAGCACUGGAACACCUGAGGAAUGGAGUGGAUAUAAAUACAUGUAACCAGAAUGGGCUGAAUGCUUUGCAUCUCUCCAGUAAGGAAGGACACCUGAAAAUGGUGAGCGAGCUGCUGCACAAGGAGAUUAUCCUGGAGACCACUACAAAGAAGGGCAACACGGCCUUGCACAUCGCUGCCUUGGCUGGACAAGAGGACGUGGUACGGGAGCUUGUUAAUUAUGGGGCCAACGUCAACAGUCAGUCACAGAAAGGUUUCACACCUCUGUACAUGGCAGCUCAAGAGAACCAUCUCCCUGUGGUCAAAUUCCUCCUGGAGAAUGGAGCCAAUCAGAACCUAGCUACAGAGGAUGGCUUCACCCCACUGGCCGUAGCGCUGCAGCAGGGCCAUGAGAAUGUCGUAGCUCACCUCAUCAGCUAUGGGAUGAAAGGAAAAGUCCGGCUCCCUGCUCUCCAUAUUGCGGCGCGAAAUGAUGACACGCGCACGGCAGCUGUACUCCUGCAGAAUGACCCCAAUGCCGACGUAUUGUCAAAGACAGGAUUCACACCCCUGCACAUCGCUGCCCAUUACGAGAACCUUAACGUCGCGCAGCUCCUUCUGAACAGGGGUGCAAAUGUGAAUUUCACUCCUCAGAAUGGUAUUAGCGCUCUGCACAUCGCCUCGCGGCGCGGGAAUGUGAUCAUGGUGCGGCUGCUGUUGGAUCGGGGAGCUCAGAUAGAUGCACUUACCAAGGACGAACUGACCCCACUACACUGUGCUGUGAGAAAUGGACAUGUCCGGAUCUCAGAGAUUCUGCUGGAUCAUGGUGCCCCAAUACAAGCCAAGACAAAGAAUGGCCUGUCUCCCAUCCAUAUGGCCUCACAAGGAGAUCACCUGGACUGCGUACGGCUGCUGCUCCAGUACCAGGCUCUGAUUGAUGACAUAACGCUGGAUCAUCUGACACCUCUGCAUGUGGCUGCUCAUUGUGGCCAUCAUCGUGUAGCAAAAAUUCUCCUAGAUAAAGGAGCCAAACCCAAUGCCAGAGCCCUGAAUGGGUUCACUCCACUGCACAUUGCCUGCAAGAAGAGUCAUAUGAGAGUCAUGGAGCUUCUGCUGAAGUCCGGAGCCUCCAUUGAUGCUGUGACAGAAUCUGGCCUCACCCCUCUCCACGUUGCUGCAUUCAUGGGACAUCUGUCUAUUGUGAGAAUGUUACUUCAGAAAGGGGCAUCACCCAAUGUCUUCAGUGUGAAAGUGGAAACCCCAUUGCACAUGGCUGCGCGUGCAGCACACGCAGAUGUGGCAGAGUUUUUACUGCAAAACAAAGCGAAGGUGAAUGCUAGAGCCAAGGAUGACCAGACCCCUCUCCACUGUGCAGCCCGCUCUGGGCAUUUUGAAAUGGUACGCUUGCUGUUAUCCCAUGGCGCUCACCCAGAUUCCCCCACUACUGCAGGCCAUACACCCCUGCACCUGAGUGCACGUGGGGGUCACACCCAAACCACAGAUCUCCUGCUGGACAACCAAGCAGCACAUACCUCCAUGACCAAGAAAGGUUUUACUCCCCUCCAUGUGGCUGCAAAAUAUGGGAAGAUCCAGAUUGCAGAAAUUCUGCUGGAAAGAGGAGCUCACUCCAACAGUGCUGGCAAGACUGGCUUGUCCCCUCUUCAUGUAGCUGUGUAUCAUAACCACCUCAACAUUGUGCGUCUUCUGUUGAAUAAGGGGGCAUCUCCACACUGCACUGCUCGGAAUGGAUACACUCCCUUGCACAUGGCUGUAAAGCAACGCUCAGUAGACACAGCCCGCGCAUUGCUGCAGUUUGGUGCAACUUGUAAUGCUCAGUCCCUACAAGGAAUCACUCCCCUCCACUUAGCUGCACAAGAGGGUCAUGUGGACAUGGUGACUUUGCUACUGAGCAAGCAAGGAAAUGUGCACCUGGGGAACAAGAGCUCCCUCACACCCCUCCACCUGGCGUGUCAGGAGGGUCACCUUAACAUAGCAGAAAUUCUGGUGUCCCAUGAUGCAACAGUGAACGUGGAAACACGGAUGGGGUUCAGCCCUCUGCACGUCGCCUGUCACUAUGGGAACAUCAAGCUGGUGAAGUUUCUCUUGCAGAAUCAGGCUAACGUAAAUGCUACCACCAAGUUGGGGUUCACUCCUCUCCACCAGGCUGCACAGCAGGGACACACGGACAUUGUCACCCUUCUGCUGAAGAACGGAGCUUGCCCCAACCAGGCCAGCAUGAAUGGGAUCACGCCAUUGGCCAUUGCAAAGCGACUAGGAUACAUCUCAGUGACAGAUGUUCUCAGUCUGGUGACAGAUGGACCCCAGGCCCAGCCAGCCAACGAAAGGCACAGGAUGAGCUUCCCAGAAACUGUUGACGAGAUGCUGGAUGUGUCAGAGGAUGAAGGAACCCCCCACCUGCCUCUACAUGGGGAGGAGCCACCAGAUUUCAGGCCUCCUCCUUCAGGGCCUAGGGAGCCAGAUGACGAUACGGACAUGGAGUUCUUACCCAAACUGGACCAUGUAGUUGGAUCACCUGCGAUACCCAGAAUUCCCUGUGUCACCCCAGAAGCAGUCAUACUAAAAAAAGAGGACGACGAACCGUUGUCUAGAGAGUUAGAUGACGAGUCCUUGAUCCCCAGCAGUCCAGCUACUGAAACGUCAGACAACAUCAGUCCUGUGGCAAGUCCUGUCCACACUGGGUUUUUGGUCAGUUUUAUGGUAGAUGCCCGGGGUGGAUCUAUGCGUGGAAGCCGUCACAAUGGUCUGCGGGUUAUCAUCCCACCCAGGACAUGUGCUGCGCCCACACGCAUUACGUGCCGCCUUGUGAAACCACAAAAGCUCAACUGCCCACCUCCGCUGGGUGAGGAAGAGGGACUGACGAGCAGGAUCAUUGCCCUGGGACCUACUGGAGCACAGUUUCUGAGCCCGGUGGUGGUAGAGAUCCCCCACUUUUCGUCAGCUGGUCGUGGUGAUCGGGAGUUGGUCAUUCUCCGUAGUGAUAACGGGUCAGUGUGGAAGGAACAUCAGAACCGGUAUGGGAGGGAAUACUUGGAGGAGGCCCUGAGCGGGAUGGAUGAAGAGCUGGAGAGUGAAGAAGAGUUACAUAAGAAACGCCUUUGCCGUAUUGUCACCACGGAUUUCCCCUUGUACUUUGUGGUGAUGUCACGGGUAUGUCAGGACUGUGAACUUAUUGGUCCAGAUGGAGGAGCUCUGAAAAGCCGACUAGUACCCCAAGUUCAAGCCACCUUCCCCCCAACUGCUGUAACCAAGAAAGUGAAGCUGUCUCUACAAGCUCAGUCAGUGCCAGAUGAAUUGGUGUCCCGGUUGCUUGGUAACCAAGCAACAUUUGGGCCUAUUGUCACUGUGGAGCCACGGCGUAGGAAAUUUCAUCGUCCAAUAGGGCUACGCAUACCCCUUCCGCCAUCUUGGAAAGAUAAUCCUCGGGACAGUGGAGAGGGAGAUACCACCAGCUUGAGGCUACUCUGUAGCGUAACAGGUGGGACAGCCCCUGCUCAGUGGGAAGACAUUACUGGAACUACAAAAUUAGUGUAUGCCAAUGAAUGUGCCAACUUUACAACCAAUGUCUCUGCCAGGUUUUGGCUGUCAGACUGCCCCCGCACCGCUGAAGCAGUCUCCUUCUCCUCCCAGCUUUACCGGGAGCUCAGCGCUGUUCCAUACACCGCUCGCUUUGUGGUGUUUGCAAAGAUGUCAGAUGGGCGGGAAGGACGUCUGCGCUGCUACUGUAUGACUGGUGACAAACUGGAGAAGACGCUAGAACAGCAUGAGAACUUUACUGAGGUGGCUCGUAGCCGCGACAUCGAGGUGCUGGAUGGGACGCAGCUCUUUGUGGAGCUGUCAGGCAAUCUAAUUCCUCAGAGGAAAGCAACGCAGCAGAGAAGUUUCACUUUCCAGGCAUUUAAAGAGAACAGGCUGGCACUACCCAUUAAGGUGAGGGACAGCAGCCGGGAACCAUGUGGGUCUAUGUCCUUCCUCCGUAAAUCUAUGAAGUAUGAGCCGUCCCAGCAAGUGCUUUGCCAUUUGAAUGUGACAAUGCCACAAUACACCCAGGGCCCAGGCAGCCUGGACAGGAGGAGGACGCUGACCCCACUUGCUCUAAGAGAGCGGUACAGCCUUCUGAAUGACAGCACAAGGGGCUCUCUCAGUGGCACAGACCGUAUUGAAAUGAAGAUGGCUGUUAUAUCAGAGCACCUGGGUCUGAGCUGGGCCGAGUUGGCCCGUGAGCUACAGUUUGAGAUGGAUGACAUCAACAGGAUUCGAGUGGAGAACCCAAACUCGUUGCUGGAGCAGAGCAUAGCUUUAUUAGAACUCUGGGUAUCGCGGCAGGGUUCCAACGCAAAGCUGGAAGAUCUAUACACAGCUCUGCGCAACAUCGACCGCAAUGAGAUUGUGACUAUGUUGGAGGGAUCUGGGCGGCAGAGUAGAUGCCUGAAGGGUGAGCGCCGUUACACAAACAGUGACGGAUCCAUUUCCCCCUCUCAGAGGAAUGGUACGAUCCCAUGGGGAUCCUCACCAGGUCACCCCUUGACGCAGGAUGAGCUGCUUUCCCCGGCCUCUCUCAACUACUCCCUACCCUCCCCGUUGCGACUGGACCAGUAUUGGAGCGAAGCGUCCAUUUUGGAUGGAGUUCCCAUGGCAACAGCUGAGCCUGACGGUCUGCUUGACCUGCCUGACCUUCCUCUCUGGGCCUCUGGCCUGUCCCCAUCCCUCGUUGCUCCUGAAGACUCAUCCCUGGAUUGCAGCAAAGCCGAGGAUGAGUGGGAUGCCCAGCCACGUCCAUCUUCGGGCUCCCCUGAUCUGGAUGAGGAGGAGUCUGAAGCUGGAGGACCAGAACGGGUCCAGGCCAGGAUUACUGAGACCCCCACCACGUGCAGAGUGACAGGGGGUAGUGUAGAGAGGGUACUAGAUUGGAGUGCCGAUGCUCCUGCACCAUCUACUCCUCGUCGAUCUCCUCAACAUAAUAAUGGUGCCCCGCUGGCAUAUGAAGAUCUGCACCCGACAUUUAAGGGCAGUGCAAGGAUACGAGUGACACAGCAGAGCACUGUGUACAGCACAAGUCUGCUGGGAGAGGGGAAUGAAGUGCCAGAUAUUCCUGGGGAGCAGGUGACGGAAGAGGAAUUCACAGAUGAGCAGGGGAACAUUGUGACAAAGAAGACAGUACGGAAGGUCCUGCGCAGGGUGGGAGCCCCAGACUCCACAGACCUUGGGGACAAUGAGGACUUAAUAAUUGAGGGAACAUUGCAAGAGCCAGAAGAGCUUGAGAGUGAGACUCCUAAUUACCUGAAGUACGCAGUGCUGCAUCGAGAGGCAGAGGACGAGUUUGACUCUCUCAGGUCAGAGGUCGGAGACGGGAGGAAAGGGGCACAGAUUGUGAAACGAGCCGGCACUAAACGGGUGCAACAGUGAGACCACAAAACUGGGACACCCAAAAUACUGGGAAACGCCCAGGUAAUACAAAUCACAGGGAAACCCCAGAACUACACCUCAAGUACAAGCUACUGAAAACGCCCUGACUGCCAUUUACUGCACCCACAGAAUACCAAUCAGUACAGACAUGAAUUUCUUCUCGCUCAUCUAUAAGCAGAGUCUUCCCUUCCUGGAAAAAUAAAAAACUGAGGAGUCCCUCCCCCUCCAAAGUCCGAAGCAGACGUUCGCCCCCUGUAUGCUCAUGGCAUGAAGAUUUGCACCCUGCAUGUUACAGAGUAAUAUGCAUGAGAUGACAUUGGGGAAGAGGACAGAGCUGCCCCCCUCCCUACUUCCCACCAUGCAGAUCCCAUUUCCAUUUGCCCUCUGUCUUCUUAAACUCCACUGGGGGGAGGGGCAUUUAUGGAAUCAGAUUGGAAAGUGGGCGACACUUAACCUUUUCCUUCUUCACCUAUCCCAGCUGCAAACUGCUUGUGUCUCAGAUACUACAUGUUUAUCAGUACUGAGUAUGUCUAUACACUCUUCAGCAGCUUAAAGGGAGCCCCUCCCCAGUUUCUUCUCAAUACAUUGGCUGCCCAUCGACAAACAGCAAUAGGAGUCACCCUCAGCCUAAGGAUUGUCCUUCAGGCCAAAGGGCACAGCACAAUGUCGACCGGGCAGGCCAGGCAAAGGUUCUGCAUGUUGCAGUUAAUUUGUGUUCAAUUUCCUUCAAAGCGAAAGGGCUACAUGUUAGAGAUACUCAGUAUCGUUAUGCAGGGACGUGUCUUCACUUGAAGAGGGCUACAAAAGUGUAUGUAGAUACUCAGUACCAUUAUACAACGCGGCAUGUUCUUUUUUCAGGCGGCUAAGCAUUUAUAGAAGCACUCGACACCAUUAUACAGUACAGCAUGCUUAUUCUCAAGCUACUGGUAGUGCAUAAAGGUAGUCUGCAUUAUUGUACAGUGCAGUACGUUUAUAAUAGGGGGAUGGAAAUGUAUAGAUAUAACCAGAUUCAUUAUGCAGAGCAGCAUGCUAAUUAUCAGGGGCUAGGAGUGUAUAGAGAUACUCAAUAUAAUUAUAGAGUGGAGCAUGUUCAUUAUCAGGGGCUGAAAGUGCAUAAAGAUACUAUAUCUUUAUAUAGUGCAGAAUGUUUAUUAUUAGGGGUAGGGGGGGUAUGGGGAUGAAACUGCCCCCCUGACUCAGGAAUGUGGUUCCAGCUUUAGGGGGGGAGGGGAGAAUUCUAUAAUUAAGGAUUUAGCCUACCCCCUCCCCACUACAGUUAUCCCAAGUCCAGACCCUCCAGCCCUGCUCCGGAGAGAGAAAGCACUCACCUUCACAACCUCUCCAGCGCUCUUUUUAGAUGCAAUUUCUGAUAUGCAUAAGAAGCUGAUUGUACAAUAACUGCUCAUAUGGAAAUAAAUACUAUGCAAUAUAAUCUUA